rnacentral:rRNA from 1 species
GAUGAACGCUGGCGGCGUGCCUAAUACAUGCAAGUCGAGCGAACAGACGAGGAGCUUGCUCCUCUGACGUUAGCGGCGGACGGGUGAGUAACACGUGGAUAACCUACCUAUAAGACUGGGAUAACUUCGGGAAACCGGAGCUAAUACCGGAUAAUAUAUUGAACCGCAUGGUUCAAUAGUGAAAGACGGUUUUGCUGUCACUUAUAGAUGGAUCCGCGCCGCAUUAGCUAGUUGGUAAGGUAACGGCUUACCAAGGCAACGAUGCGUAGCCGACCUGAGAGGGGGAUCGGCCACCAGGGAACUGAGACACGGUCCAGACCCCUACGGGAGGCCGCAGGAGGGAAUCUUCCGCAAUGGGGGAAAGCCUGAGGGAGAAACGCCGGGUGGGUGAUGAAGGUCUUCGGAUCGUAAAACUUUGUUUUUAGGGAAAAACAAAUGUGUAAGUAACUAUGCCCGUCUUGACGGUACCAAAGCAGAAAGCCCCGGCUAACUCCGU